rnacentral:rRNA from 1 species
UACAGGGGGGGCAAGCGUUGUUCGGAAUUACUGGGCGUAAAGGGUCUGUAGGUGGCUUGCUAAGUCAGACGUGAAAUCCCUCAGCUUAACUGGGGAACUGCGUCUGAUACUGGCGAGCUUGAGUGCAGGAGAGGAACGCGGAAUUCCAGGUGUAGCGGUGAAAUGCGUAGAUAUCUGGAGGAACACCGGUGGCGAAGGCGGCGUUCUGGACUGCAGCUGACACUGAGAGACGAAAGCCAGGGGAGCAAACGGG